UUUUAGUCAUCUUCAGAUGUAUAGUUUUAGCUUGUGAUGCUAUUUCGAGAUAAACCUGCAUAACUGUGCUCACAGGCAACUGAAAUGUCAUCCCACAAUGUUGUUUUAUCUGAACCAACCUUAUGAUAUCGAAGUGAGUGCUUAUCAGCAUGAGCAACUGAAAUUGUUCUUUAGUGCAGUCAAUGGCUCCAGCACUCUUAGAUCCUCAGUAUCACGGUUGUGCUAGAUGACUGACUGAAACUUAGUUUCAGGUGAUUGUAUUGUUUCUCCUCGCUACCAACACCCCAAGUUUCUUUCUUUUCCUUAGUAGUUUGUUAUACUGAUAGAGUGGAGAGGAGCGUUUUGGUGGCCGCGCACCAUGGAGGCCGAAACCGCGUGCAAUAGCACUGUGAUGUGUGCUGCUUAGUUUCCAUUUUCUUAUACGCGCUCCAUUAACUGCAAAUACAUCAGUGCCAUGGCCUCCAGUGCUGUGUUUAUACACGGGCCUACAGCCCGGUGGUAUUUGUAUGCACAUGUGUACCAACUGGGCUAGUCUCGCACAGGUAGGCGCGGGCUGGUGGGUAGUUAAUAAUCUUUAUGGAUGGGCCCAUGGCCAUCUGUUAGCUUGCAAUUAAUUCGACUGUUCGACAUAGUGAGCAAGUUUCCCUGCCUCACCAGACCAUUCAUCCCUUUGAGGCGGCAGCUGGGCGUGCGACGGUUCGCCAUGGAUGUGCUCGAGUUCUUCUCCGAGGAAGACGAAUCAGGGUAAACUCUUGCAUGAUCUUUCCCUAUAUGGUCUUGUUCUAUUGCUAUGAGCAAGUUAUGGCUGUAGCGCUUGUUGCAUGUGCUAGCUAGUGUUGUCGGAUAUUCCUGUGAUUCGUUGCAGUUUCAUUCCUAGGACCGUUGCCAGGUAGUUGUUGGGAGGAGAUGUGUCUACUGUCCAAUCUGUGGUUGCUUCAAUCGAUGAAGCUCGCGCGGACUGCGAAGACCUGAUUUCCACUGAUCCCACAUUUGUUCACUGUGAUGGAGAGCAGCGCAGUUUCGGCCAGCGCGUUGAAGACACAAUGUUGGUAGAAGAGGGGGCUGGUUCAUACGGCGUUGCCAGCAAGGUUGUUGCCGAUUGAUAUGAUCUGGCUCAUUAGGAUGUCAACGAUACACCGAUCAGAGAAGAUGGACAUGCAGAGGGCGUGGUCUCCAACUUAAAAGGCUCCUGCUGGUCUCGAAGGUGAUGAUCCAGCUUGGGCUGCAAGAGGUUCCUCCAAAAUAGAUACUGAAAAGAUGACCAGGGAUGCAAGGUAUAUACUACCAGCAGAGUUUCUGUGGUACCAGAAAGACCAAGGACCUCUCAAGUACUCAUCACGGCAGCAUAACAACCUUCAUUUGUUGUGCCUGGAAAUUGUGAAAUUAGGCAACAGCAAUGUGGAUGCAUAUACUCUUGCUAUGGAGCAAGUGAGAAAUGUGAAAACAAUACAGAAGCCUAUUGCUGCUAUACGUGAUGGAUCAGAGUUAGGGCAUAAACAACAUUUUGGUCGGGCAAAUCCAGCAUAGAGUGCCUCGCAAUGUUCUGAUAGUUUUGCAGCACCAUCAAAGAUAAGGACAGCUCGACGCCCUAGCACAAGUCGCGACAAAGCACCAUAUGGGCAACCAGCUAAUAGGUCUAGGUUCUGUUCUAUAUGCAGAGGUCACAAGAGUACCACUUGUCCGCAACGAGGGGAUCUUCCAAAGGCGCCGAGGAAGUCGCCUCGAUGCUCCUGAUGCAGAUUAUGAGCUCAUAGGAAGAACACUUGCACCACCGCCCCAGCCAGACUUUCGAGACUGAUUUUGUAACAGCUUGUGUCUGAAAGUUCACUUUGUUCACUUGGCAAAAUCUACAUUUAUCGAGUUUGCACUAUAAUGCAGCUAUGGGUGUGAUUUGUUUUGCUUUUUGUGACGCUGUUGCCGAGUCCUUGGUUAACUGAUAUAAUACGCUAAAAUUAUGGUGUUGAUGUGAGUAGGUGAUGUUUAGUUUAACUUUUUCAGUUUGGAAAU